rnacentral:rRNA from 1 species
GUGGGGAAUCUUAGACAAUGGGGGAAACCCUGAUCUAGCCAUGCCGCGUGAGCGAUGAAGGCCUUAGGGUUGUAAAGCUCUUUCAGAGGGGAAGAUAAUGACGGUACCCUCAGAAGAAGCCCCGGCUAACUCCGUGCCAGCAGCCGCGGUCAUACGGAGGGGACUAGCGUUGUUCGGAAUUACUGGGCGUAAAGCGCACGUAGGCGGACCAGAAAGUCAGGGGUGAGAUCCCGGGGCGCAACCCCGGAACUGCCUUUGAAACUCCUGGUCUUGAGGUCGAGAGAGGUGAGGGGAAUUCCAAGUGUAGAGGUGAAAGUCGUAGAUAUUCGCAAGAACACCAGUGGCGAAGGCGGCUCACUGGCCCGAUACUGACGCUGAGGUGCGAAAGCGUGGGGAGCAAACAGGAUUAGAUACCCUAGUAGUCC